rnacentral:lncRNA from 1 species
GAGAUACUGAUAUUCUCGCAGAUGGUGAGUUCCUUUUUGAUAGGAGACUGGGUUAGUUCUUUUGGCAUGUAGAUCUCCAAGUUGCCAUGAAAUAGAACAUGUUAUGAUCAGCGGGGUCCACAAGUUUGCACGCGGGUAUUGACUUGGUAUAAAUGCAAGGUGUGUGGUGGAAAAGUUAUGUCAUGGCUAAAGAAUUCUCAGGGAAACCAAACAUGAGAAUUACACCAUAAAUUUCAGCAGGAUAUUUUGACAUGUGCCAAGAAAAAUCUUAGAAUAAGUGGUAUACUCUUUAUGGUGGAGUAUGAUAAUUCAUUAUGUUGAGAAUUAUGACUGUUGGUGAAGACAAUGUUUUAUAAUAGUAGUUAUGAUUUUUUUU